AGUGUUGUGAGGGGUGGGUUUGCUCGAGAGGUAUUUUGAGGGGUGCAUUUUGUAGAGGGCAUCGAGGAGGGUCGCCCCAAAGGCUUUUUUGAUUUUUCCAACCCCUUCCUUCACCCCUGGCUCUUCAGAAGUGGCGUUUUUCGACGUGCCCCUCUUUACGGGGGUGAAUUAACGCCUUCGUAUCAACCCUCGCCAAUGCAACUUUGCGCACAUUUAGAGGACACUUCAAAACUACUCCUCGCAAAGUUUUCCCAAAAUCGGUUGAAAACUCCCAUAGAUAUGACGUUUUAAAAAAGUAUCGCUUUAAUUUUGUCCGUCAGUGUAUAUCCAAACGGUGCUCAAAAACAUAGAUCGUAAGUUUAGUAUGCAUAGCCUUAGAAUAAGGAAAGUACAAAUAGGUUUAGUUACAAUUAAUAUGUAAUUCUUAACAUAAAAUAUCUUGUAAACAAGUUAUAAGGAAACGCCUAUAUUCUGAUUAUAGUUGUAAGAGAGUGCAAUAUAGAGGAUAUCUACGCACUUUAAAAAUAAAAUAAAAUAAAAAAAAAGAGCUGAAUGGUACCAUCUACCAAAAAUCGAAAUGGACUUUCCGGACAACCCAAUAUAGUACUAGCCAUGCUGAGAAACGUGGCAACACCGCUCAAGUCUAGAUCGAGAGUCUUCUUUUCCAAUAUGAGAGUCUUGUGCUUCAUAUCAUAAUUAACAGUUUUUUUAAUAGAAGACUAUGCUAAUGUACACCAUUUGUUAUUAAUUAUGUAAAAGUGGGAUAUAAAUACUAUGACUGUACGGUUUGAAGAAAAUAUAAGUGUGAAGGAAGAUAAAACCUUCUUUGGACCAAAUUGAAAUGUUUUAAAAUUAAUAAGAGAUAUUUUAAGUUAAUACAAACGUGAAAUAGACAAAAUUGUUGGUGCGAAGCCAAAGAGGUUAAGUGAACGUGUGGAAGAGAUGAAGGGAAGGUGGCCAAGGAAAGAACUGUGCAGUUAAUUACAAGAGUGUGUUACAGAUUUUACAAAUUGGGACUUUAAGUUAGCAUCAUUAAUUAUGACUUCCAUUAUGGCAUACAUAUGACUGAAUACGGUUAUUACUUCUUCUGUAGGAACAGAAAGGCCUCCUCUUUGUAAGCUAUCAAAAUAUUUGUCGCCAAUAGUUUUACCUUUAUUCUCGACAAUUAAUAAUUUACAUAUAUUAUAAUUUAAUUUUUUAGCAAUAGAAUGGGAUCCAUCACCAGGUAUGUAAAUUUUAAUGGAAUCAUCAACAACACAAGUGGAUACACAUUCAGUUUCGAAGAUUCCCAGAAAACAAGUUACAUCAAUGGAAAGAUCAUGAAGAUUAUUAUCAUUAUCACAAAUUUCAAAUCUAUUUUUGAUUGAAGUAAAAGAAAAAAAUCUUGCCGAUUUCUUAAAUUUAUGUUUUAAUCUAAUAUUUUUCUCUGCAUGAACUACUUCAUUGUAUGAAACGUGAUAAUUACAACCAAAUAAAAGUCUAUAGUUUCCAAAUCAUUUCACUAAUUUUUUAGUUCAAAAUUUUCCUGCUAAAAGAUAAGAUAUGUGAAAAGUUUGAAAACAGUACUCUAU